rnacentral:rRNA from 1 species
GACGAACGCUGGCGGCGUGCUUAACACAUGCAAGUCGAACGGUAAGGCCCCUUCGGGGGUACACGAGUGGCGCACGGGUGAGUAACACGUGAGCAACCUGCCCUUGACUCUGGAAUAACAGUUGGAAACAGCUGCUAAUACUGGAUAUUCAUCGUCUCCUUCCUGGGGGGUGGUGGAAAGCUCCGGCGGUCAGGGAUGGGCUCGCGGCCUAUCAGCUUGUUGGUGAGGUAAUGGCUCACCAAGGCUUCGACGGGUAGCCGGCCUGAGAGGGCGACCGGCCACACUGGGACUGAGAUACGGCCCAGACUCCUACGGGAGGCAGCAGUGGGGAAUAUUGCACAAUGGGCGCAAGCCUGAUGCAGCAACGCCGCGUGCGGGAUGACGGCCUUCGGGUUGUAAACCGCUUUCAGUAGGGACGAAGGGUGACUGACGGUACCUACAGAAGAAGGACCGGCUAACUACGUG